GACGAACGCUGGCGGCAUGCCUAACACAUGCAAGUCGAACGAGACCUUCGGGUCUUUUGGCGCACGGCUGCGUAACGCGUGGGAACCUGCCCGUAGGUUCGGAAUAACUCCCCGAGAGGGGUGCUAAGACCGGAUAAUGUCUUCGCACCAAAGAGUUAUCGCCGUUGGAUGGGCGCUCGUGGGAUUAGCUAGUUGGUAGGGGAAAAGCCUACCAAGGCGAGGAUACAUAGCUGGUCAGAGAGGAUGAUCAGAAACACUGGAACUGAGACACGGCCCAGAAUCGGACGGAAGGGAGGAGUGGGGAAUAUAGUAGGAGGGAGGAAGGCGUGACAAAGCAACGCGGGGGAAGAGAUGCAGGGGGUAGGGAAGUAAAGCUGCUUUAGACGGGAUGAUAAUGACAGUAACGGGAGAAUAAGCACCGGCUAACUACGUG
rnacentral:rRNA from 1 species